CGAGCGCUAACGCUUUAUCUGACCCUUCCGGGAACGAUCAUGUCGUCUAGCGGCGGACGGGCUCUUAAUGCCUAGGAAAUUGCCCUGAUGUGGGGGAUAACCAUUGGAAACGAUGGCUAAUACCGCAUGAUGCCUACGGGCCAAAGAGGGGGACCUUCGGGCCUCUCGCGUCAGGAUAUGCCUAGGUGGGAUUAGCUAGUUGGUGAGGUAAGGGCUCACCAAGGCGACGAUCCCUAGCUGGUCUGAGAGGAUGAUCAGCCACACUGGAACUGAGACACGGUCCAGACUCCUACGGGAGGCAGCAGUGGGGAAUAUUGCACAAUGGGCGCAAGCCUGAUGCAGCCAUGCCGCGUGUGUGAAGAAGGCCUUCGGGUUGUAAAGCACUUUCAGUCGUGAGGAAGGUAGUGUAGUUAAUAGCUGCAUUAUUUGACGUUAGCGACAGAAGAAGCACCGGCUAACUCCGUGCCAGCAGCCGCGGUAAUACGGAGGGUGCGAGCGUUAAUCGGAAUUACUGGGCGUAAAGCGCAUGCAGGUGGUUUGUUAAGUCAGAUGUGAAAGCCCGGGGCUCAACCUCGGAAUUGCAUUUGAAACUGGCAGACUAGAGUACUGUAGAGGGGGGUAGAAUUUCAGGUGUAGCGGUGAAAUGCGUAGAGAUCUGAAGGAAUACCGGUGGCGAAGGCGGCCCCCUGGACAGAUACUGACACUCAGAUGCGAAAGCGUGGGGAGCAAACAGGAUUAGAUACCCUGGUAGUCCACGCCGUAAACGAUGUCUACUUGGAGGUUGUGGCCUUGAGCCGUGGCUUUCGGAGCUAACGCGUUAAGUAGACCGCCUGGGGAGUACGGUCGCAAGAUUAAAACUCAAAUGAAUUGACGGGGGCCCGCACAAGCGGUGGAGCAUGUGGUUUAAUUCGAUGCAACGCGAAGAACCUUACCUACUCUUGACAUCCAGAGAACUUUCCAGAGAUGGAUUGGUGCCUUCGGGAACUCUGAGACAGGUGCUGCAUGGCUGUCGUCAGCUCGUGUUGUGAAAUGUUGGGUUAAGUCCCGCAACGAGCGCAACCCUUAUCCUUGUUUGCCAGCGAGUAAUGUCGGGAACUCCAGGGAGACUGCCGGUGAUAAACCGGAGGAAGGUGGGGACGACGUCAAGUCAUCAUGGCCCUUACGAGUAGGGCUACACACGUGCUACAAUGGCGCAUACAGAGGGCAGCCAACUUGCGAAAGUGAGCGAAUCCCAAAAAGUGCGUCGUAGUCCGGAUUGGAGUCUGCAACUCGACUCCAUGAAGUCGGAAUCGCUAGUAAUCGUGGAUCAGAAUGCCACGGUGAAUACGUUCCCGGGCCUUGUACACACCGCCCGUCACACCAUGGGAGUGGGCUGCAAAAGAAGUAGGUAGUUUAACCUUCGGGGG
rnacentral:rRNA from 1 species